UAAGAGACAGCAGUAGCCGCGGUAAUACGUAGGUCCCGAGCGUUGUCCGGAUUUAUUGGGCGUAAAGCGAGCGCAGGCGGUUAGAUAAGUCUGAAGUUAAAGGCUGUGGCUUAACCAUAGUACGCUUUGGAAACUGUUUAACUUGAGUGCAGAAGGGGAGAGUGGAAUUCCAUGUGUAGCGGUGAAAUGCGUAGAUAUAUGGAGGAACACCGGUGGCGAAAGCGGCUCUCUGGUCUGUAACUGACGCUGAGGCUCGAAAGCGUGGGGAGCAAACAGGAUUAGAUACCCCCGUAGUCCCUGUCUCUUAUACA
rnacentral:rRNA from 1 species